AGAGUUUGAUCCUGGCUCAGGAUGAACGCUGGCCGGCGUGCCUAACACAUGCAAGUCGAACGGAAUUUACAUGAAGCCUAGCGAUUGUAAAUUUAGUGGCGGACGGGUGAGUAACGCGUGGGUAACCUGCCUUGUACUGGGGGACAACAGUUGGAAACGACUGCUAAUACCGCAUAAGCGCACAGCUUCGCAUGAAGCAGUGUGAAAAACUCCGGUGGUACAAGAUGGACCCGCGUCUGAUUAGCUGGUUGGUGAGGUAACGGCCCACCAAGGCGACGAUCAGUAGCCGGCCUGAGAGGGUGAACGGCCACAUUGGGACUGAGACACGGCCCAAACUCCUACGGGAGGCAGCA
rnacentral:rRNA from 1 species